UGGCUCAGAACGAACGCUGGCGGCGUGCUUAACACAUGCAAGUCGAGCGCGAACGGCAUUUUCGGAUGCCUAGUAGAGCGGCGCACGGGUGAGUAACACGUGGGUAAUCUACCCUUUGGACUGGGAUAACCCCGCGAAAGCGGGGCUAAUACCGGGUAAGACCACAGAUCGUCGGAGAUGUGGUAAAAGCGGGGGCUUUUCGGGGCCUCGCACCAGGUGAUGAGCCCGCGUCCCAUCAGCUUGUUGGUAGGGUAAUGGCCUACCAAGGCUAAGACGGGUAGCUGGUCUGAGAGGAUGAUCAGCCACACUGGGACUGAGACACGGCCCAGACUCCUACGGGAGGCAGCAGUGGGGAAUAUUGCGCAAUGGGCGAAAGCCUGACGCAGCGACGCCGCGUGGAGGAUGAAGGCCUUCGGGUUGUAAACUCCUGUCAGGAGGGACGAAUGAAUGAGUUGUUAAUACCAGCUUGCUCUGACGGUACCUCCAAAGGAAGCACCGGCUAACUCUGUGCCAGCAGCCGCGGUAAGACAGAGGGUGCAAGCGUUGUUCGGAAUUACUGGGCGUAAAGGGCGCGUAGGCGGCUUCAUAUGUCGGAUGUGAAAUCCCUCGUUUCAAGCGGGGAACUGCAUCCGAAACUGUGAGACUUGAGUCCCGGAGAGGGAAGCGGAAUUCCUGGUGUAGAGGUGAAAUUCGUAGAGAUCAGGAGGAACACCCGUGGCGAAGGCGGCUUCCUGGACGGUGACUGACGCUGAGGCGCGAAAGCGUGGGUAGCAAACAGGAUUAGAUACCCUGGUAAUCCACGCUGUAAACGAUGGGCACUAGCUGUCAGGGGUAUUGACCCCUCUGGUGGC
rnacentral:rRNA from 1 species